AGGUCAGUCUGCUGUUGUAGUUAAUGCGUCAUUUUUCUUAACAUAAUUGGUGAUAUAGGUUACAAGCAAGUCUGGCGCUGAACAGAAAUUGUCGCGCUAUGCUCCUUUAUUUAUUGUGCAUAAAUAGUGAAUUGUCCUGACACAAUAUUGCGUUUCGCUUCUGUUAUUAUGGUACAUUGACAAAAACACACUUUUAUUCACAGGAUAAAACAGUUGUUUUGUAUCACUAAUUGUCCAGUACGAUUACAGCAUACAGUAUUAUUGUCACUGCUACAUUUCUGUGAUGGGUACCAGAAAUUAUUUCCACUGCUAAUUAAUUACCGUUGAGCUCAAAGGUCCUAUUAAUAAACGGUUAACGAAUGUGUAUUUAUGACGACGAUUUGUGAGACUGGUAAACUUAUGAUACGUACGAUGGUCUUUCGUUCUACACGGUGCAUUUCAAGGUCCUGUACCCAUCCGUCGGUAAACUGUACCUGGGCUUGUUGCAGUGACCGGAAGUUACUAAACUUCAUGAGUGUGUGCACUCACUCCAAGAACCGUAUGAUUAUAAAUAUGCAUAUAAAUAUGCUACGAUGAGAUAGCUGACUUCAUUUAACUAGCAAAUGUUGUCCAGGCUACGUUGGUGAUACAGUUUUUUUUAAUGUGUAUGAUAUUUUUGUCAUGCGAUUUUAAAGCCGGUCCUACAACCGCAUCCAAGAAUAACAUGCAGCUUAUCUCAGAACUGUUGGUGAAAAUUAUUCUUGGAGCUAGGUUUAAUUGAGCUGCAUUUUAAAGAGGUGCAAUUUCACAAUUUGUGUAUAUUUUCUAAGUUCACUAUUUUGUCAUGUGUUGAGAAAAACAGAUUUAAAAAUUACAUGGUCUAAUAUUUACAUUUAGCAUAACUGCAACAUUCUUUUUUUCUUUUUUAAAGACUCGAAAGGACUUGAAAUUCAAAGUUUCAGACUUGUGACUUGACUCGGACUUUUACACCAGUGACUUGAGACUCGACUCUGACUUGCCUGACAUUACUUGAGACUUGACG
ensembl:lncRNA